UGUGAUCUAAACAGAGUGCUCAAGUCAAAAUGCUUGGUGAUCUUUUGCAUACCUCAAUUCAAAUAUUAUAUUUUUGAAGGCAGUUGGUAGAUGUGAUUUUUCAAUUUUGUUUUGAGUUAAUCUUUGGGAUGUAAUUGGCUUUGGAGGGAGCGAAGGAAAGGAAUUGGAAGAAAGGUAGAAGGGGGGUUAGACCAAAAAUUAGGUUAAUAUGGUUGAUGUAAUUUGUUGUAAUAAGUCCUUGAAAGUGAGAUUUUCAGCAUGAUGCCCUUUUUCUUGGUUUUUUUUUUUUUAGAUGUGUAGGGACGGACAUUGUAGAUAGAGAUCAAAAUAAGAAGUUCACGCUGAAUUGGAUGAAAAAGAAUAACCAAAAAUCAGGGUCAAAUUACAAACAACAGUCAAAAACAGAACUUCGAGGUUGGAUGCUCUAUGACGCGAAAGGAUAGAGCUUCAACAACGAGGGCUCAAGAUGAACAACUGACUAGGAGCAUACCACGCAACAUAAAAAGAUUCUCACCCAAGAAAGAGACUCACAGAAAACUUGAUUUUGAAAAAGUUGACUAGCUGAAAAGUUCCAACAAUAACCAACACAUUUCCCCUGUCCUGAAGCUUUGUUUGAUGAUGAAUCACUUGCAAGAACAAGUGAUUUCAUAGAAUAAUGGGUUAGCAUCUGCGCACCUGCAAAGACCAAGAUGAAAUCAAAAUAUAAUGGGCCAAGUUUCUCAGAGCAAUGCACCAACUGUGAAAAGGAGGCAUUGAAUGUAUCACUGGGAAACCUAUUGACAUAUCUAUUUGUGAAAGAAGCUGUGGUGAAGAGCACUAUUGUCUUAAAAGG